rnacentral:rRNA from 1 species
UACGUAGGGUGCAAGCGUUGUCCGGAAUCAUUGGGCGUAAAGCGCGUGUAGGCGGCUUGUUAAGUCCGCUCUGAAAGCCCGGGGCUCAACCCCGGGAGGCGGGUGGAUACUGGCAAGCUCGAGUCCGGAAGAGGCGAGUGGAAUUCCCGGUGUAGCGGUGAAAUGCGCAGAUAAUCAGGAGGAACACCGGUGGCGAAGGCGGGUCUCUGGGCCGAUGACUGACGCUGAGGAGCGAAAGCGUGGGAGCGAACAGG